rnacentral:ncRNA from 1 species
AAACAAGGGAGCCGUCAUGGAGACGCGCUGAGAUCGGGCUGCCGCCGCCCGGUACCUUUGAACCUGAUUUGGGUAAUGCCAACGUAGGGAGGAU